UACGUAGGGUGCGAGCGUUAAUCGGAAUUACUGGGCGUAAAGUGUGCGCAGGUGGCUGCGCAAGUCGAGUGUGAAAGCCCCGGGCUUAACUUGGGAAUUGCGCUCGAAACUACGUGGCUAGAGUGUGGCAGAGGAAGGUGGAAUUCCACGUGUAGCGGUGAAAUGCGUAGAGAUGUGGAGGAACACCGAUGGCGAAGGCAGCCUUCUGGGCCAACACUGACGCUCAUGCACGAAAGCGUGGGGAGCAAACAGG
rnacentral:rRNA from 1 species